GACGAACGCUGGCGGCGUGCUUAACACAUGCAAGUCGAACGGAAAGGCCCUGCUUUUGUGGGGUGCUCGAGUGGCGAACGGGUGAGUAACACGUGAGUAACCUGCCCUUGACUUUGGGAUAACUGCAGGAAACUGGGGCUAAUACCGGAUAGGAGCUCCUGCUGCAUGGUGGGGGUUGGAAAGUUUCGGCGGUUGGGGAUGGACUCGCGGCUUAUCAGCUUGUUGGUGGGGUAGUGGCUUACCAAGGCUUUGACGGGUAGCCGGCCUGAGAGGGUGACCGGCCACAUUGGGACUGAGAUACGGCCCAGACUCCUACGGGAGGCAGCAGUGGGGAAUAUUGCACAAUGGGCGGAAGCCGGAUGCAGCAACGCCGCGUGCGGGAUGACGGCCUUCGGGUUGUAAACCGCUUUCGCCUGUGACGAAGCGUGAGUGACGGUAAUGGGUAAAGAAGCACCGGCUAACUACGU
rnacentral:rRNA from 1 species